GUCUGUAAGCGUAGCUUUCUAUUUCAUUUAGGUGAUAUUAAGUUUAUUUCUAUAUUUAUUUACUGCUACACUAUAUUGUUGAUAUGAUUUCUUAUAGAAGGAAUACAGACAAAUGAUAUAAUUUGUCAUCGUCGAUAUCAGAAUACUGGAUAGCAUAGGCUACUCGUGGUGGAGAGGCAUAUUAGAGCUCAGUGAGAGCCCAUAAAAUUAUACAGCAGUGUUUUCUUGAUUUAAUUGGGAUUUGAGCAACUUUUCCACAAACAAAAUUCUGAUGCUGACACAGAGGAUGGAGUGAUAAUACCAGAGAUCAGCUGUCUCCAUCAGACAAUAAUGUUACUUUGUUCAGACAUAUCACCUUUGAAUGACUGGGAUCCUUAUCUUCAGACACCUGUUGUAUUUU